UACGUAGGGGGCUAGCGUUGUCCGGAAUCAUUGGGCGUAAAGAGCGCGUAGGCGGCCAGAUAAGUCCGGUGUGAAAGUCAAAGGCUCAACCUUUGAAUGCCGCUGGAAACUGUCUGGCUAGAGUCCGGGAGGGGCGAGUGGAAUUCCUGGUGUAGCGGUGAAAUGCGCAGAUAUCAGGAAGAACACCCGUGGCGAAGGCGGCUCUCUGGGACGGUACUGACGCUGAGACGCGAAAGCGUGGGGAGCAAACAGG
rnacentral:rRNA from 1 species